CUCCAGACUCCUACGGGAGGCAGCAGUGGGGAAUAUUGCACAAUGGGGGAAACCCUGAUGCAGCGACGCCGCGUGAGUGAGGAAGUAUUUCGGUAUGUAAAGCCCUAUCGGCAGGGAAGAAAUUGGACGGUACCUGACUAAGAAGCCCCGGCUAACUACGUGCCAGCAGCCGCGGUAAUACGUAGGGGGCAAGCGUUAUCCGGAUUCACUGGGUGUAAAGGGAGCGUAGACGGCCAUGCAAGCCUGGAGUGAAAGCCCGGGGCCCAACCCCGGGACUGCUCGGGGAACUGUGCGGCUAGAGUGCGGGAGGGGCAGGCGGAAUUCCUGGUGUAGCGGUGAAAUGCGUAGAUAUCAGGAGGAACACCGGCGGCGAAGGCGGCCUGCUGGACCGCGACUGACGUUGAGGCUCGAAAGCGUGGGGAGCAAACAGGAUUAGAUACCCGCGUA
rnacentral:rRNA from 1 species